rnacentral:snRNA from 1 species
AGCUUUGCACAGUGGCAGUAUCGUAGCCAAUGAGGUUUAUCCGAGGCGCGAUUAUUGCUGAUUGAAAACUUUUCUAUAUCUUCCCAAAAAGAAAUUUGUGUUUUUUUUUCUCUUUUUAAAA